UGAUUUCUUUUCUAAAAUAUGCAUUUUCUGUUCUAAUUUACUUUCUAAUUCUUUUUUUACAAGAUUUUCAAGUUGUUCAUCUGUUAUAUUAACAUGGUCAUAUUCGUUAUAAAGUUCUUCUGCUUCUGCAUUUUCGUCAUCGCGCAGAAUUUCUUCGAGUUCAUCAUCACAGCUAUCUUUACUAUCGCUCUCGUCGCUGUCACCACUUCCAUUGUCACUGUCACUGUCAUCACUUUCUUUGUCACUGUCACCACUUUUAUUGUCGCUGGCACCACUACCAUUGUCAUCACUGUCAUUGUCACCACUACCAUUGUCACCAUUACUUUUACCAUUUCCUAUAUCCCCAUUUUCUAACUUUUGUUUUUUAUUUUUUUUUUUUUAUCUUUCCCAUUUUUAUCAACCGAAGCGGUACUCUUCCUUUUUUUAUUUUUUACAACAUCAUCAUCAACGUCACUCUUAUCACUAACAUUACUUGUAUCUUCAUCUUUAUCUUCAUCUUCAUCUUUAUCUUCAUCUUUAUCUUCAUCUUUAUCUUCAUCUUCAUCUUUAUCUUUAUCUUCAUCUUUAUCUUCAUCUUUAUCUUUAUCUUUAUCUUUAUCUUCAUCUUUAUCCUCCGAGUUGCUACCGCUAUCGUUGUUGUCGCUAUCACGGUCAUUGUCGACUCCGCGACUGUUUCUACCCUUAUGAAAAGAUCUUCUGAGCAUCUUGUCACAUUUUCUACUUUCCUGUAUAAUACUAUUAGACUGUUCAAUGCAAUCCAUAAAUUCCACAAUUUUUGUAUCAUAAUGGACAUUUUUUUACAUUCAAUUGUUGUAGUUCUUUUUCAUUAUGUUCAAUUCGAUAGUCUAGAUCUACAUUUUCUAUAUCUUUUUUAGAUAUAUCUUCAUCAAUAAUUUUUUUUUUUUUCUAAUUUCUUCAAUUUUAUCUUGUAUUUCAGUUAAUGAUGUAUUUAAUUUUUCAAUUUUUUCAUAUACAUCACAACCUUUUGUUUCAAUAACUUUUAAUUCUUCUUCUAAUUCUUUU
rnacentral:lncRNA from 1 species